rnacentral:rRNA from 1 species
GACGAACGCUGGCGGCGUGCCUAAUACAUGCAAGUAGGACGCAGUUGCGAACGGUUGAGUAACGCGUAGGUAACUGCCUAUUAGAGGGGGAUAACUAUUGGAAACGCUAGCUAAUACCGCAUACUAGUAGAUGGACCUGCGUUGUAUUAGCUAGUAGGUAGGGUAAUGGCCUACCUAGGCAACGAUACAUAUCCGACCUGGGAGGGUGAUCGGCCACACUGGGACUUGGACACGGGCCAGACUCCGACGGGAGGCAGCAGUAGGGAAACUUCGGCAAUGGGGGGAACGCUGACCAAGCAAAGCCGCGGGAGUGAAGAAGGUUUUCGGGACGUAAAGCUCUGUUGAUAAGGAAGCGGUACUUAACCAGAAAGGGACGGCUAACUACGUGCCAGCAGCCGCGGUAAUUC